UACAGAGGGGGCAAGCGUUAUUCGGAAUUAUUGGGCGUAAAGGGCGCGUAGGCGGCUUGGCAAGUGGAAGGUGAAAUCCCUCGGCUUAACCGAGGAACUGCCCUCCAAACUGCUUCGCUUGAGACCGGGAGAGGUGAGUGGAAUUCCCAGUGUAGCGGUGAAAUGCGUAGAUAUUGGGAGGAACACCAGUGGCGAAGGCGGCUCACUGGACCGGUACUGACGCUGAUGCGCUAAAGCGUGGGGAGCAAACGGG
rnacentral:rRNA from 1 species